AUUGAACGCUAGCGGGAUGCCUUACACAUGCAAGUCGAACGGAUUGGCGAACGGGUGAGUAAUGUAUCGGAACGUGCCCAGUAGCGGGGGAUAACUACGCGAAAGCGUAGCUAAUACCGCAUACUAUCGGAACGGCCGAUAUCGGAUUAGCAAGUUGGUGGGGUAACGGCUCACCAAGGCGACGAUCCGUAGCUGGUUUGAGAGGACGACCAGCCACACUGGGACUGAGACACGGCCCAGACUCCUACGGGAGGCAGCAGUGGGGAAUUUUGGACAAUGGGGGAAACCCUGAUGCAGCCAUCCCGCGUGUGUGAUGAAGGCCUUCGGGUUGUAAAGCACUUUUGGCAGGAAAGCGGUACCUGCAGAAUAAGCACCGGCUAACUCCGUGCCAGCCGCCGCGGUAAUAC
rnacentral:rRNA from 1 species